rnacentral:rRNA from 1 species
CAAUGUGGCCCUGCUGGUUGGAUUGUGCCUGAUCUUGGCCCGUAAAUCAGUCCUAGGUCUGGUUAGUACUUAGAUGGGAAACCAUCUGGAAUCCCAGGUGCUAUAGAGA